rnacentral:rRNA from 1 species
GACAGAGGGUGCAAACGUUGUUCGGAAUUACUGGGCGUAAAGCGUGUGUAGGCGGCUGCGUAAGUCGGAUGUGAAAGCCCCGGGCUCAACCCGGGAAGUGCACCCGAUACUGCGUAGCUCGAGUAUCGGAGAGGUUGGUGGAAUUCUCGGUGUAGAGGUGAAAUUCGUAGAUAUCGAGAAGAACACCGGUGGCGAAGGCGGCCAUCUGGACGGUGACUGACGCUGAGACGCGAAAGCGUGGGGAGCAAACAGG